AAUACAGAGGUCCCAAGCGUUGUUCGGAUUCAUUGGGCGUAAAGGGUGCGUAGGUGGCGUCGUAAGUCGGGUGUGAAAUUUCGGAGCUCAACUCCGAAACUGCAUUCGAUACUGCGGUGCUUGAGGACUGGAGAGGAGACUGGAAUUCAUGGUGUAGCAGUGAAAUGCGUAGAGAUCAUGAGGAAGACCAGUGGCGAAGGCGGGUCUCUGGACAGUUCCUGACACUGAGGCACGAAGGCCAGGGGAGCAAACGG
rnacentral:rRNA from 1 species